rnacentral:lncRNA from 1 species
CUAGGGAAGAGUUUGCUGAUGGGUUAGAGAUGGGUUGGCUGGAAAUGUUUUAAAAUGUGUUUGAUUUUCUGGAAUUGCCUUCCACAGACCAAUUUCUUCUUCAUGGCAUCUCAUGUGAGAAUUACUCAUUAGAGUCACAACAUGAUUCCCUGAAUGGCUGACUCAUGAAUCCUUCUCAUGUCUCAAAUUGCCAUGUAUACAGCAGAUCAGAUUUUGCUGAUGUGAUUGACUGCACCUGAAGUUACAGCUACUUGGCCCAUUACAAGAAGAAAUGAAUCGACUCAAUUAAAUUACAGAGAUGUUAUUCCCAAGCUACUGACUUUGCUCAAGGGACGAGCAACAGAAGAGGAAAAUGCAAGGAAUGUCUCAAAAAAUUCUCAGAAUCUACAGUUUAUCUGGCUGCAUUUCACAAGAAUCUUCACUGCUACUGGAUUUAGAGGAGAUUUUGAAGUGUGAUAGAUGUGAGCAGUGAUGGUUGCCACAGGCAUUGACAGGAGACCUUGGAGAAUGCAACAGUGUCAACCUGUCUGCAACUGAGAAGAAUACUGGGAGCAGAGCUCUGCAAACUGCAGGAACUCCAUGGGCAAAGAAACAUGAACCUUGCCAUCACAAAACUUGGCUGUCUCAGG